UAAAGCUCCUGUCGAGAUAUUCCUCCUUCCCUCCUUCCCCCCCAUGCAAUCGAUUUGGUACCAUCGCAUCGCCAGCUGCGCUCCUGCCCGCACCGCUGUCCCAGCGGGUCUGACUUCCCCUUGCCUGGACAUCCUGUAUAACCCUCCUGGCACCCUUACCUUGUCCAGAGCUGUUCUGACUCAGCCCCUGCAGCUGGAUGUGGGAACAUGUGUCUGUGGAUAGAGAAGUGGAGAUGUGUGUUUGCAGAAAGGCUCAUUCCACCCAGAGCCCACAUGGAGAUGUUGUUCUUCUCCUGCACAAAGAUUCAUUUUGAGUCCCACUGCAGGAUGACAAAUGACGGAGUUGCUUAAGCCCCUCUGGAGGCUGGUUACUGAACAGCAGUGGAAGCAGGCUCAUUACAAGGACUAUAGUUAGAUAUGUGCAUGAAUGCAUGUGCAGCCAUCAGCCAGGAGGCUUUGUGGUUGCUGGAGGAAAUUUACCCUGUUUUUCACGCUAACUUGAUGUCAUCUUAGAGAGAGAGUGUACUUCCAUUAUAUUCUUUUGAACGAGAUAAACUUGCAAACAUUUUGAUGAAAGAUGGGUUUUUGGAAGACAAGUCCUUGCCUUUAGGCAAAGAGAGGUGUAAAGACAGGUAAGUAGACUGACACAUAUGUGUGUUUGUGUGCUUGUUGUGUUUGGUUGUUUUUGUUUUGUUUGUUUGUUUUUGUGUUGGGUUUUUUUGUGUGUGGUGUUGUUUUUUUUUCCUGUAACACAGCUCCAGAGAUUUGUUUCUAAUGUAAAACUAUUUUUAAUUUUUAA